CCUACGGGUGGCAGCAGUGGGGAAUAUUGGACAAUGGGGGCAACCCUGAUCCAGCCAUGCCGCGUGUGUGAAGAAGGCCCUCGGGUUGUAAAGCACUUUCAGUGAGGAAGAACGCCUGGUGGUUAAUACCCAUCAGGAAAGACAUCACUCACAGAAGAAGCACCGGCUAACUCCGUGCCAGCAGCCGCGGUAAUACGGAGGGUGCGAGCGUUAAUCGGGAUUACUGGGCGUAAAGCGCGCGUAGGUGGCUUGAUAAGCCGGUUGUGAAAGCCCCGGGCUCAACCUGGGAACGGCAUCCGGAACUGUCAAGCUAGAGUGCAGGAGAGGAAGGUAGAAUUCCCGGUGUAGCGGUGAAAUGCGUAGAGAUCGGGAGGAAUACCAGUGGCGAAGGCGGCCUUCUGGACUGACACUGACACUGAGGUGCGAAAGCGUGGGUAGCAAACAGGAUUAGAUACCCUAGUAGUC
rnacentral:rRNA from 1 species